rnacentral:tRNA from 1 species
GCCGGGGUGGCGGAAUUGGCAGACGCAAGGGACUUAAAAUCCCUAGGGGCGUAAGCUCCGUGCCGGUUCGAGUCCGGCCCUCGGCA